UGCACCCUCAGCAUAUGGAGGGUCCCAGGCUAGGGGUGGAAUUGGAGCUGCAGCUGCCAGCCUACGCCACAGCCACAGCAACUCGGGAUCUGAGCCAUGUCUGUGACCUACACCAUGGCUCACCAGCAACACCAGAUCCCCGACCAGGGAUGGAACCCGCAUCUCAUGAAUACUAGUCGGACUCGUUUCCACUGUGCCACAAUGGGAACUUCCUGUCAUCUUUUUUUCUUGCUGGUUAAGUCUUAUUUUUUCUUAACUAAAUUCCACUGUCCAAUGGGGUGGCUACUAGCUACAAGAAGCCAUUUAAAUUUAGUUAAAAUCAAUGAACAUGCAGUUCCUUGGUAACACUCGCUACCUUUUAAGUGCUCAACAGUCAGGUAUGCCCACUGGCUACCUUACUGGGUGACACAGAGAACAUUUCCAUAAUCACAAAGCUCUACUAGCCGGUGGUGCUCCAAGGGCACCAUCAUUAACACAAGAAUGCAGGAGGAUUUGAAUAAUGUCUCCUGAGAGGGAUGGUUAGAAGGAAGGGCAGAGGGGGGAAGGGACUGCUAUUCUUACUCUCAUAACUUAGAACACUGCAGGAGAGCUACACAAUGGAACCCUGCUAUCUGGAGAUGAGAUAGCUUCUAGGGUCAAGAUUUCUCCUGAAGUAUUAAAGACCAGCAUGCAAAUCACAUGCCUAUAAAUUAAUAGCUGUGAAGACUAAUAAAGGAAAUACUAUAUGGUAUGGCACAGACUCCCUGCAUUUAAACACUUUAUUUUAUUUGUCUUUUUAGGGAUGCACCCACGGCAUCUGGAGGUUCCCUGGCUAGGGGUCAAAUCAGAGCUGUAGCUGUUGGCCUACGCCAGAGCCACAGCCACCCCAGAUCUAAGCUGCAUAUGCAACCUACAGUACAGCUCAUAGCAAAAAUGGAUCCUUUACCCACUGAGUGAGACCAGGGAUCGAACCUGUGUCCUUUUGGAUACUAGUCAGAUUUGUUUCCACUGAGCCACGACAGGAACUCUCUGAUGAGGCCAGUCAGCAUCCUAACAAGGUUGCUAAGUCUUGCAAAACAGUCACAGAAAAAGUAUUCAGCAGGCAAGGAAAGAGGUAAAAUUCCAACAGGGGUUCUUGGUCCCAUAAGAGAAUUACUGACACUGUGGAAAACAGGCACGAAGGGCUGGUAGCAAAAGGGAAUUGAAACACAGGUAACUGAUAACAGCCCAGACACCUAGAAUCCUACCUAGAGGGGGCCAGACAGGCCAAAGAAUAACCUGCCAGAGAAGCAGACCACAAGCCAAUGGGAGGAAAGCUUCGGAAUCCGGGCAGACCAGCUGAAACCACAUGUACUUGCUCCAGAGAAGGCAAGGUUAUCGCAGGAGAUGAAUUCCACUGGAAUCACAUGCGAGCACCCACACAAUUUCUGUGGCUUCCAAUGCCAAUCCCACAUGGCUGAAUCACAUAGGUCUGUCUCAUACCCUUCCUUCCUCUCCCACAACUAAAUAGUCUUAUUCCUUAACAGUGCAAGUGCUACAGUUCUUUCUUUUGGUGACAAUACUGGAUGUCUCUGUUUCUGACUUUCGAAUGGAGAAUAGUGGUAUUUCCAGCUAGUCAUUUCCAAUUCUUUUCAGAUAACACUAUUUGACAUCAUUUCACCCUAAAAAAGAGAUGGGGGAACAGGUAGGCUUAGGGGUUAGUGGUAGGGUGAGGAGUUACCAGUGAGUGGCGGCCAAGGUCAGCCACCGGCUUAGUGACAUUUGCAUUUCCAAGGGCCUCACAUCUAAUAUGACUCAAGUGUACACCUCAGCAAGAAUGCCAAUCUGCAGAUAGGUUUUUAGAGUGGCUCUCAAUUAGAAAUGUUAAAUCCUUAAAGGCCAAGAAUCCACAGUAAUUCAGUGACCAGAGAGAAUUACUGAAUUACUAUGGAUUCUUGGCAUUUAAGGAUGAGAGAGGAGAGGAAGGUACCACUGAAAUGAACGAGCUGGCAAGAGUCCCAGGUUAAAGGACAUAGUCACUCUCUCCCACUAAUUAAAAAUUCUCUUUACCAGAAGAGUUUGUAAAACUCUAUGGUUGGUUAAAGGUCUUCAAAAAAUCAGUGGUUCUUUUGUUCCAAAUCUCUUAUCAUGAGACAGGAAACAUUUUUAAAUUCCUGCAAGAUUGCCAAGACGAGAAUUAUCUUGCGCUCCUAGUUCUAAAAAUGAUGGUAUACAACAAUUGCACUUUGUUGAAAAUGAAAAAAAAAAAUCAGAGCUCAAAAUCUAAAAUUCUAUGUAUUUCAUGACAAUCAAAACUCUUGAGUUCUCGGGAGUUCCUGUCAUGGCGCAGCAGAAACAAAACCAACUAGUAUCCAUGAGGAUGCGGGUUCAAUCCCUGGCCUUGAUCAGUGGGUUAAGGAUGCGGCAUUGCCGUGAGCUGUGGUGUAGGUCGCAAUGCUGCUCGGAUCUGGUGUUGCUGCGGCUGUGGCACAGGCUGGCAGCUGAAGCUCCAAUACAACCCCUAGCCUGAGAACUUCCAUAUGCUAUGGGUACGGCCCUAAAAAGCAGAAAGCAAAAAAAAAAAAAAAAAAAACACAAGACCAAACAAAAAACAACUCUGACUUCUCACAAUAAAGUGAGGUCUGGGUUUCUGGGUGGAGUCUGUAGUUUAUCCAGAAAUCUGGGUUUCAGGAAACAGGGACUCAAAGGGACUAUCAGGCCCUCCAGGAAGAUACUCCCCAAGUGACUUCUGUGGUCCCAGAUCUGAAUCUCACUCACCAAGCACGAUGGGGAGCAUGACCCAAUGAGCCAGAGUGCCAAGGGUGCCCAGCCACUUGGAGAGGGUACAUGACAGCAAAACUGCUACGAAACUCAUUCCAAUGCCACGUAUUGAUUUUACAGAGAGAAAACGGCCUGUGGCCUGGAUCUGAAGGCUCAGGGCUGGCAUCCUGACUCUGUAGGCAGGAUGAAAAGAUUCAAAUUACCACCAGUCAGAGGGCUUCAUUUGAUCACCCAAACACACGUUGUUCAUCUAUGCAACAGGGAGACCUUGCUGCUGCCUUGCUGUAUUGUACUCCAUGACAGCCCUUCAGGGAGCAGCACCCAACAGAACCGUCUCCGGACUUCCAUUUCCUGCACUCCUGACAGCCCAUCCCCCCUUACCUUCCCAGCCGCUAUCCUCACGGCACAACACACAAAGCUUCCCCUCCACAGAUGGUGACCAAAUUCCAACCCUGCCUCUGGGAGACGACAGCCAAGUCGUUGCCACCACCGGGACUGCGCAUGUUCCCAAACUGCCAGCCACACACAUGCACACCAUUUCUUCGUUUGCUCCCAAAAGACCUCCUUCGCAGCUAGCUGAAUCCUUGGAUGGUAACUAUUUCUAACCCCUGGGUAGGUAGGACAAGCUUUUAACAUCGCUAUCCACUGCUGGGCUACAACCACCGCCUCCUGGUGCUAACGCUCACUAAGGAUGGGAGAGUUGGUCUAUGUUGGAAGAAGAACCAACAUGAGCACCAAGGCCCCCAAACAGGAACAGGAAUGACAGCCGUCCAUCCAGGCUCUCCAGACUGGUUCCGCCAAAUCAUAUCUCGUGAUGGCUGAGAGACACUGCAGGGCAUCUCGGGGAAAUGACAGACAUCAGAGACUGGUAAAGGUACCAAGGUUGAGAGAAGUUGUGAAUUACCAUAUAAAUUGUACAGACUGGGCUCACGGCAGUUCCUCCCUUCGUCGGCACCACCAAUUUGCUAUUUUUGCUCAGAUCUCCUGACUACUUGUCCUUUAGGUGGUGGCUUAGGUAAGCACAUUUUCUGAAAAUGUCUUGUCAGGGUUCCUAGACUCAUUAAGUCCUCCUCCAGUAAGCUCCCACAGGACCCUGCAUUUCUCUUCCCACCCUAUUUGGUCGCUGGCUUUUUAAAUGAGCUCUCAUGGCCAAAGACAAGGCUCUCAGAGGACAGAGGCUGGACAGAUCUCAAGAAGUGACAAGAAGAAGGGUCCAUGGGCAGCUGCUCAAGGCCAGAGAGGCAAAAGGCAACUGCUCCCUUGCUUAGGACUGUUCUCCUAGACUCUAGCAAAACGCUGAGCACACCAAUGCACCAGGGAGGGGGGAUGAAUAAAUGAUAUUCAUCCAAAGCAAAGCUCUAGAGUGAAUCCCUAAAGACGUUAUGGUCAUUUAGCAAAGGACAGUCAACAGCGAGAACAAAAGACAUGCACACUUAUUCCCCUUUCCGAUACGGUGAAAAGCACCAGGGCACUGCUUACUGGUGCACGUGGACACUGGCCAGCCUUCAGCCAACACACGCAGUACUGUUCUAGACAAGAUGAUGACAUGAAGGUGAGCGGAUGCUGAAGUGAGCUGGGGCUGUGCUGUGCCCGGCUG
rnacentral:lncRNA from 1 species